rnacentral:rRNA from 1 species
UACAGAGACCUCAAGCGUUAUCCGGAAUCAUUGGGCGUAAAGCGUACCGAUAGGUGGUUUACAAAGUCAGAGGUGAAAUCUCAAGGCUCAACCUUGAGUCUGUCCUUUGAUACUUGUAAACUUGAGGGGCAAAGAGGAAGCUGGAACAAACGGUGUAGUAGUGAAAUGCGUUGAUAUCGUUUGGAACACCAAUAGCGUAGGCAGGCUUCUGGGUGCCACCUGACACUGCUAGGACGAAAGCGUGGGGAGCGAACAGG